AAUAGAUACCCGGGUAGUCCACGCCCUAAACGAUGGAUGCUAGCUGUUGGUCGUAUCGACCCGAUCAGUAGCGAAGCUAACGCGUUAAGCAUCCCGCCUGUGGAGUACGAGCGCAAGCUUAAAACAUAAAGGAAUUGACGGGGACCCGCACAAGCGGUGGAGUGUGUUGUUUAAUUCGAUGGUAAACGAAGAACCUUACCCAGACUUGACAUCCUUGGAAGGACUACGAAAGUAGACUGUGCCUUUUGGAGCCAAGUGACAGGUGUUGCAUGGCCGUCGUCAGCUCGUGUCGUGAGAUGUUUGGUUAAGUCCAUUAACGAGCGCAACCCUUGUGAAUAGUUGUAUUUUUCUAUUCAGACUGCCCUGGCAACAGGGAGGAAGGAGGGGAUGAUGUCAGGUCAGUAUUACCCUUACGUCUGGGGCUACAAACACGCUACAAUGGCCGGUACAAAGGGACGCAACCCGCGAGGGGGAGCAAAUCCCAUCAAAGCCGGUCUCAGUUCGGAUUGCAGGCUGAAACUCGCCUGCAUGAAG
rnacentral:rRNA from 1 species